rnacentral:rRNA from 1 species
GACCUGCGGAGGGAUCAUUACACAACAAAAUAUGAAGGCCUGGCUUUCGCGGCCGGCUGAAGUAUUUUUUUCACCCAUGUCUUUUGCGCACUUGUUGUUUCCUGGGCGGGUUCGCCCGCCACCAGGACCAAACCAUAAACCUUUUUUUCUUAUGCAGUUUCCAUCAGCGUCAGUAAAAACAAUGUAAUUAUUACAACUUUCAACAACGGAUCUCUUGGUUCUGGCAUCGAUGAAGAACGCAGCGAAAUGCGAUACGUAGUGUGAAUUGCAGAAUUCAGUGAAUCAUCGAAUCUUUGAACGCACAUUGCGCCCUUUGGUAUUCCAAAGGGCAUGCCUGUUCGAGCGUCAUUUGUACCUUCAAGCUUUGCUUGGUGUUGGGCGUUUUUUUGUCUCCCUCUUUCUGGGAGACUCGCCUUAAAACGAUUGGCAGCCGGCCUACUGGUUUCGGAGCGCAGCACAUUUUUUGCGCUUUGUAUCAGGAGAAAAGGACGGUACUCCAUCAAGACUCUACAUUUUUCACUUUUGACCUCGGAUCAGGUAGGGAUACCCGCUGAACUUAAGCAUA